rnacentral:rRNA from 1 species
CAUGUGUAGCGGUGAAAUGCGUAGAUAUAUGGAGGAACACCAGUGGCGAAAGCGGCUCUCUGGUCUGUCACUGACGCUGAGGCUCGAAAGCGUGGGUAGCGAACAGGAUUAGAUACCCUGGUAGUNCACGCCGUAAACGAUGAGUGCUAGGUGUUAGGCCCUUUCCGGGGCUUAGUGCCGGAGCUAACGCAAUAAGCACUCCGCCUGGGGAGUACGACCGCAAGGUUGAAACUCAAAGGAAUUGACGGGGGCCCGCACAAGCGGUGGAGCAUGUGGUUUAAUUCGAAGCAACGCGAAGAACCUUACCAGGUCUUGACAUCCCGAUGCUAUUCUUAGAGAUAGGAAGUUACUUCGGUACAUCGGAGACAGGUGGUGCAUGGUUGUCGUCAGCUCGUGUCGUGAGAUGUUGGGUUAAGUCCCGCAACGAGCGCAACCCUUAUUGUUAGUUGCCAUCAUUAAGUUGGGCACUCUAGCGAGACUGCCGGUAAUAAACCGGAGGAAGGUGGGGAUGACGUCAAAUCAUCAUGCCCCUUAUGACCUGGGCUACACACGUGCUACAAUGGUCGGUACAACGAGUUGCGAGCCGGUGACGGCAAGCUAAUCUCUGAAAGCCGAUCUCAGUUCGGAUUGGAGGCUGCAACUCGCCUCCAUGAAGUCGGAAUCGCUAGUAAUCGCGGAUCAGCACGCCGCGGUG